rnacentral:rRNA from 1 species
CACACUGCCGAGAAAAGCCUCUAGAUAGAAAAUAGGUGCCCGUACCGCAAACCGACACAGGUAGUCAAGAUGAGAAUUCUAAGGUGAGCGAGCGAACUCUCGUUAAGGAACUCGGCAAAAUGACCCCGUAACUUCGGGAGAAGGGGUGCUCUUUAGGGUUAACGCCCAGAAGAGCCGCAGUGAAUAGGCCCAAGCGACUGUUUAUCAAAAACACAGGUCUCUGCUAAACCGUAAGGUGAUGUAUAGGGGCUGACGCCUGCCCGGUGCUGGAAGGUUAAGAGGAGUGGUUAGCUUCUGCGAAGCUACGAAUCGAAGCCCCAGUAAACGGCGGCCGUAACUAUAACGGUCCUAAGGUAGCGAAAUUCCUUGUCGGGUAAGUUCCGACCCGCACGAAAGGCGUAACGAUUUGGGCACUGUCUCAACGAGAGACUCGGUGAAAUCAUAGUACCUGUGAAGAUGCAGGUUACCCGCGACAGGACGGAAAGACCCCGUGGAGCUUUACUGUAGCCUGAUAUUGAAAUUCGGCACAGCUUGUACAGGAUAGGUAGGAGCCUUUGAAACGUGAGCGCUAGCUUACGUGGAGGCGCUGGUGGGAUACUACCCUAGCUGUGUUGGCUUUCUAACCCGCACCACUUAUCGUGGUGGGAGACAGUGUCAGGCGGGCAGUUUGACUGGGGCGGUCGCCUCCUAAAAGGUAACGGAGGCGCUCAAAGGUUCCCUCAGAAUGGUUGGAAAUCAUUCAUAGAGUGUAAAGGCAUAAGGGAGCUUGACUGCGAGACCUACAAGUCGAGCAGGGUCGAAAGACGGACUUAGUGAUCCGGUGGUUCCGCAUGGAAGGGCCAUCGCUCAACGGAUAAAAGCUACCCCGGGGAUAACAGGCUUAUCUCCCCCAAGAGUUCACAUCGACGGGGAGGUUUGGCACCUCGAUGUCGGCUCAUCGCAUCCUGGGGCUGUAGUCGGUCCCAAGGGUUGGGCUGUUCGCCCAUUAAAGCGGUACGCGAGCUGGGUUCAGAACGUCGUGAGACAGUUCGGUCCCUAUCCGUCGUGGGCGUAGGAAAUUUGAGAGGAGCUGUCCUUAGUACGAGAGGACCGGGAUGGACAUACCUCUGGUGUACCAGUUGUCGUGCCAACGGCAUAGCUGGGUAGCUAUGUGUGGACGGGAUAAGUGCUGAAAGCAUCUAAGCAUGAAGCCCCCCUCAAGAUGAGAUUUCCCAACUUCGGUUAUAAGAUCCCUCAAAGAUGAUGAGGUUAAUAGGUUCGAGGUGGAAGCAUGGUGACAUGUGG